GGGGGCGUACUGGUUUCGACGGGGGUAUGGAGUCAGGAGUAGCGAGUGGAGGUUUUUCCUUGGGGUCCGCCUUAAAAAACUGGGGAAUUAAAGAUAAACGCAAACGAAAAUUACGCUUUAGCAGCUUAAUAUAGCUGCUCGUCCUGCCCAGGCUGCCUACGGCUUGGAACCAGGGCGUCAACAUAGUAGGGAACUGCGCUGAGGGUGUCUCGACUCAACCGCGGAUAAAUUGGGACUGGUCAAAAGCAUAGCCUGUCAUUGGGCGCUGCCGGAGAUGAGAAACUAAAACAAUGACUGCACUCGGAGAAGCUGCUGGUAAAGUGCUUUCGGACAGGGGUUCGACUCCCCUCGCCUCCACCA
rfam:Geosporobacter subterraneus DSM 17957 genome assembly, contig: EJ58DRAFT_scaffold00073.73